rnacentral:rRNA from 1 species
UACGAAGGGGGCUAGCGUUGCUCGGAAUCACUGGGCGUAAAGCGCACGUAGGCGGCUUCUUAAGUCAGGGGUGAAAUCCUGGAGCUCAACUCCAGAACUGCCUUUGAUACUGAGGAGCUUGAGUCCGGGAGAGGUGAGUGGAACUGCGAGUUGUAGAGGUGAAAUUCGUAGAUAUUCGCAAGAACACCAGUGGCGAAGGCGGCUCACUGGCCCGAUACUGACGCUGAGGCACGAAAGCGUGGGGAGCAAACAGG